rnacentral:rRNA from 1 species
GAUGAACGCUGGCGGCGUGCUUAACACAUGCAAGUCGAACGGAAAGGCUCCUGCUUGCCGGGGUCCUCGAGUGGCGAACGGGUGAGUAACACGUGGGUGAUCUGCCCUGCACUUCGGGAUAAGCCUGGGAAGCUGGGUCUAAUACCGGAUAGGACGAUGGUUUGGAUGCCAUUGUGGAAAGUUUUUCGGUGUGGGAUGAGCUCGCGGCCUAUCAGCUUGUUGGUGGGGUAAUGGCCUACCAAGGCGUCGACGGGUAGCCGGCCUGAGAGGGUGUACGGCCACAUUGGGACUGAGAUACGGCCCAGACUCCUACGGGAGGCAGCAGUGGGGAAUAUUGCACAAUGGGCGCAAGCCUGAUGCAGCGACGCCGCGUGGGGGAUGACGGCCUUCGGGUUGUAAACUCCUUUCGCUAGGGACGAAGCGCAAGUGACGGUACCUGGAGAAGAAGCACUGGCUAACUACGUG